AUUGUUUAUGAGGAAAAGGAAGCUUCUUCUCUAAAUACCUAUGAUCUACAGUUUCUCCCAGGAAGGCCUGGGUUGGCUAGGACCUGGGGUCAGAGAGAUCUGGGAUGAUGAAGCCAAUACUCAUCUGCUUGGUCAGCUGCCUCCUCACCAUAGUCCAGGCAAUAUUCAUCCAUCGCUGUGAUUUGGCCAAGAUCCUGCAUGAGGAGGAUUUGGAUGGGUUUGAGGGAUACUCCCUGAGUGACUGGCUCUGCCUGGCUGCUUUGGAGAGUAAUUUCAACAUAUCAAAGGUCAAUGAAAAUACAGACGGCAGCUUUGACUAUGGCAUCUUCCAGAUCAACAGCCACUACUGGUGCAACGAUUACAAGAGUCACUCAGAAAAUAUUUGCCGUGUGGACUGUAGAGAUUUACUGAGCUUGGAUCUUCUCCCAACCAUCAACUGCAUCAAAAAAAUUGUGUCAGGAGCAGGAGGGAUGAAGAACUGGGUAAACUGGAGGUUACACUGUUCAGGCCGGCCACUCUCCUACUGGACUACAGGAUGCCACCUAGGAUGAGGCAUUGUAACAAGCCUGCUGUGGAAUCAUUCCAGAACUCUUCUUCUCACUUGGGAAUUUUUGGUUACUUCUUGCCUUUGUCUCCAUGUUAUUUUCUUCCCUAUUGAUUUACAAACCAAACUGACUAGUGCCCCCCCCCCAUCAAUGGCUUGCUACAGCUUCUUCCUUGUCCCCAGCCAGAUGCAGGCUUCUCAGGAUGGGAUCUAAUUUUCUUGGAAGGUGUUAAUGGAUAGUGGAACAUGUAAGGAGAGAAAAGUCACAAUUGGAAAAACACCCUGCAUACAGCAGACCAUCAGUACUGUUUGAUUAAACUCUAUGCUAUUUUAAAGUUGUCCCAGCUAUAAAACAAGAGAUUUUACUAGUCAGUACUUCUCAGACUUUUGGACUUCACUGACGAAUAAAAUGUCAUUAAAUAAAUAAAUAAAUAAAUAAGACCACCAUAAGAUUUCCAUUGUUGUUGCUGUUGUUAAUGCCCAAUU